GGGGCGGCCGAGCGCGGCUUACUCCCCAGCGGGGUCAGCAGGGCCCGGCCCGGCCCGCGCCGCGCCGCGCAGGGCUGCUGGGGAAGUUGAGGCUCCCGGCCGCGGGCGGGGGUGGCGUGCUUCGGCUUCCAGGAAUAACUCAAGUCACCUUUAUUGGAAAUAAAUUUGCUGAAAUUAUUGAAACAGCGUUUCUUGAAUUUGAAGAAAAAGGAGGUUCCCUGCCCUGACUAGAGGAGUGUGGCCCUUUCUCCAAGCCCCCUCUGGAUACACCCUCAAAGCCUCCACCAGGAAAGAUGCGGCAGCUCAAAGGGAAGCCCAAGAAGGA